rnacentral:rRNA from 1 species
AUACGGAGGGUGCAAGCGUUAAUCGGAAUUACUGGGCGUAAAGCGUACGUAGGCGGUUUGUUUAGUCAGAUGUGAAAGCCCCGGGCUUAACCUGGGAACUGCAUUUGAAACUGGCAAACUAGAGUAUGGUAGAGGGGGGUAGAAUUUCUAGUGUAGCGGUGAAAUGCGUAGAUAUUAGAAGGAAUACCAGUGGCGAAGGCGGCCCCCUGGACCAAUACUGACGCUGAGGUACGAAAGCGUGGGGAGCGAACAGGAUUAGAAACCCGAGUAGUCC